GGACAGGUGGCAGAGUGGCUGAAUGCACCGGUUUGCUAAACCGACGUAGGGGAAUUAGCCCCUACCGCGGGUUCGAAUCCCGCCCUGUCCG
rnacentral:tRNA from 3 species